rnacentral:rRNA from 1 species
UACAGAGGUCUCAAGCGUUGUUCGGAUUCAUUGGGCGUAAAGGGUGCGUAGGCGGCGCGGUAAGUCGGGUGUGAAAUCUCGGAGCUUAACUCCGAAACUGCAUUCGAUACUGCCGUGCUUGAGGACUGGAGAGGAGACUGGAAUUUACGGUGUAGCGGUGAAAUGCGUAGAUAUCGCAAGAACACCAGUGGCGAAGGCGGCUCACUGGCCCGGUACUGACGCUGAGGUGCGAAAGCGUGGGGAGCAAACAGG